AGCGAACGCUGGCGGCAGGCCUAAACAUGCAAGUCGAACGCCGUAGCAAUACGGAGUGGCAGACGGGUGAGUAACGCGUGGGAACGUACCCUUGGUUCGGAACAACACAGGGAAACUUGUGCUAAUACCGGAUAAGCCCUUACGGGGAAAGGAUUAUCGCCAAAGGAUCGGCCCGCGUCUGAUUAGCUUGUUGGUGAGGUAACGGCUCACCAAGGCUACGAUCAGUAGCUGGUCUGAGAGGAUGAUCAGCCACACUGGGACUGAGACACGGCCCAGACUCCUACGGGAGGCAGCAGUUAGGAAUCUUGGACAAUGGGCGCAAGCCUGAUCCAGCCAUGCCGCGUGAGUGAUGAAGGCC
rnacentral:rRNA from 1 species